rnacentral:rRNA from 1 species
AUUGAGAGCUUGCUCUCAAGAAGUUAGCGGCGGACGGGUGAGUAACACGUGGGUAACCUGCCCAUAAGACUGGGAUAACUCCGGGAAACCGGGGCUAAUACCGGAUAAUAUUUUGAACUGCAUGGUUCGAAAUUGAAAGGCGGCUUCGGCUGUCACUUAUGGAUGGACCCGCGUCGCAUUAGCUAGUUGGUGAGGUAACGGCUCACCAAGGCAACGAUGCGUAGCCGACCUGAGAGGGUGAUCGGCCACACUGGGACUGAGACACGGCCCAGACUCCUACGGGAGGCAGCAGUAGGGAAUCUUCCGCAAUGGACGAAAGUCUGACGGAGCAACGCCGCGUGAGUGAUGAAGGCUUUCGGGUCGUAAAACUCUGUUGUUAGGGAAGAACAAGUGCUAGUUGAAUAAGCUGGCACCUUGACGGUACCUAACCAGAAAGCCACGGCUAACUACGUGCCAGCAGCCGCGGUAAUACGUAGGUGGCAAGCGUUAUCCGGAAUUAUUGGGCGUAAAGCGCGCGCAGGUGGUUUCUUAAGUCUGAUGUGAAAGCCCACGGCUCAACCGUGGAGGGUCAUUGGAAACUGGGAGACUUGAGUGCAGAAGAGGAAAGUGGAAUUCCAUGUGUAGCGGUGAAAUGCGUAGAGAUAUGGAGGAACACCAGUGGCGAAGGCGACUUUCUGGUCU